GGCCGCGCGCGCGCACUGCGGUGCCUCCGCUGCGGCGGCUGUGGCCGCUCCCGGCGGGAUCAGCUUUCAGGUUGAUGAAACUGAAGCUGGGUGUCCACAGAUCUCUUGCUGGAGAAGUAAAUGUCUGGACAGACAUCUCCCAGGUGCAGUCAGCUCUCUCAAAGGCCCUUACAGAAAUGACCACCCCAAACAAGACCCCACCUGGUGCUGAUCCAAAGCAGUUAGAGAGGACUGGUACUGUUAGAGAAAUAGGCUCACAAGCAGUUUGGUCUCUUUCAUCCUGUAAGCCAGGGUUUGGAGUGGAUCAGUUACGAGAUGAUAAUCUAGAAACUUACUGGCAGUCAGAUGGAUCACAGCCUCAUUUGGUGAACAUCCAAUUUAGAAGAAAAACAACAGUGAAGACCUUAUGUAUUUAUGCAGACUACAAAUCUGAUGAAAGUUACACUCCAAGCAAGAUUUCUGUCAGAGUAGGAAAUAAUUUUCAUAAUCUCCAGGAAAUCCGGGAUGGAUGUGCAACUUUUAUAUGGAAGAACUUGGUCUGAUACAGCAGCAAGAUCCAUCAUGAAGAACAUGGUAUUCCCCCAGCUAAAGUCUGACUGCUGCUCUUCUGACCUCUCAGAUGAGUGAGAAACCCCCAUGUCUUGUGACCUGACAUCACUUCAUCUGCAAGUCCUGGGCUGAAAAACAGUCUUCAUCACUUCCCUGUCAUCACUUCCCUCUGCAGUCCCCAGGAGAAAUCUGAGAUCUUCCCAGGAAUGAUGGACAAGAAGCAAGCCCAGACAAUCCUAUUGAUGGGCUUAGGGCAGCAGAACCCGUGAAGAAGCCCUACAAAGGUGCUCAGUACAAUGUUAGGGGCUUCAAAUGAAUUUCAUCAACACAGGGACCAGUAGAUCCAUUAGAGAAACAAAAAGGCAUCUUUUUAGGAGAGAAACAUGACUUAUUGUUGUACAAUGCAAUCUCUUCUCUUCCUCUGUUUUUGUAUAUUGUCCUCCUUAUCUGACUGCCAAUGCUGUAGUGAGUGAAAUAUGUUAGUGAGAUCAAAACUAACCUCCAGAAUUAUUUUUAUGAAGGAAAUAUAUCACUUCAGUUUCUUGGUUAUAUCAGCUUCAGGAUAGUUUUAAGUUGAUUCUUUGGAACAGAUUUGCUAAUUUAUGACAAUAUAAUGAUUUUAUCACCACUAAAUUUCCUCUUGACAUUAAAAAAGAAGACACAAUCAACCACCACAGUAUUAUUCCAUCUAUUGAUAUUAUAAGUAUCUUAAUGGGAUAGCUGUUCAAAAUUCUUUUCAGAGGCAUCAAUUUAUAUUACCUUUGAUUCAACCACA